GGGCCCGCACAAGCGGUGGAGUAUGUGGUUUAAUUCGAUGCAACGCGAAGAACCUUACCAGGGUUUGACAUCCUGCGAAUCUCUUGGAAACGAGAGAGUGCCUUCGGGAACGCAGUGACAGGUGGUGCAUGGCUGUCGUCAGCUCGUGUCGUGAGAUGUUGGGUUAAGUCCCGCAACGAGCGCAACCCACGUCUUUAGUUGCCAGCAUUUAGUUGGGCACUCUAGAGAGACCGCCGGUGACAAACCGGAGGAAGGUGUGGAUGACGUCAAGUCAUCAUGCCCCUUACGUCCUGGGCUACACACGUACUACAAUGGUCGGUACAAUGGGUCGCCACCCAGCGAUGGGCG
rnacentral:rRNA from 1 species